rnacentral:rRNA from 1 species
UACGAAGGGGGCUAGCGUUGUUCGGAAUUACUGGGCGUAACGGGCGCGUAGGCGGUGUGUCAAGUCAGGCGUGAAAGCCCCGGGCUCAACCUGGGAACCGCGCUUGAGACUGGCACGCUCGAGUUCGGGAGAGGAUGGUGGAAUUCCCAGUGUAGAGGUGAAAUUCGUAGAUAUUGGGAAGAACACCGAUGGCGAAGGCAGCCAUCUGGACCGACACUGACGCUGAGGCGCGAAAGCGUGGGGAGCAAACAGG